UCUCAGGACUGUUGAAGUUCUGUACAGUUGGUUUCUGUGGAAUCGGCACUCUGAUCGACUUCAUACUGAUCGCCAUGCAGAUCGUGGGUCCCGCAGACGGAUCAAACUACAUCGUGGAUUAUUACGGCGCUCGGCUGACCCGCCUGUCCAUCACCAACGAGACCUACAGGAAGCCACACCCGUCUCUGUGAACACACACCGACAGGAAACACCGUCAGUCAUGUGAACACAGAGAGGACUGCACACGGCCGAGGACACGCUCCUAAAAAUCACUUCUGUUCAUUUAGUUCAACUUUAUCCACACGCUGACUCUGUGCAUCAACAGACAGAACGUUUAAAAAAUAAAAAUAAAAAAAACUGUAAACCUUCACAUUCCUGCUGAUCGUUCACGCAAUCAUCCAUCAGAUUGAUCUCCUGACAGGUUUCACUUCUCUAUGAACAGAAUAAUUUACCUCCUCUGAAUAGGUCACAUGUAAUGUACGCCUCUGCGGCUUUUAUUUAAUAUGAAAAUACGGUCCUAAUAUAUUGUGACGUGUCACUUUUCUGUCUUUAAGUUAAUUUAUUUCAUGAAAGCUGACUUUGUAAAUAAAGUUUCUUUUUGUGUUCAUCUA